GGGGAAUCUUCCGCAAUGGGCGAUAGCCUGACGGAGCAAGACCGCNGUGGGGGGAAGAAGGGCUCUUGGGUUGUAAACCCCUUUUCUCUGGGAAGAAAGUUGUGAAAGCAACCUGACGGUACCAGAGGAAUCAGCAUCGGCUAACUCCGUGCCAGCAGCCGCGGUAAGACGGAGGAUGCAAGCGUUAUCCGGAAUGAUUGGGCGUAAAGCGUCCGCAGGUGGCAGUUCAAGUCUGCUGUCAAAGACCGGGGCUUAACUUCGGAAAGGCAGUGGAAACUGAACAGCUAGAGUAUGGUAGGGGCAGAGGGAAUUCCUGGUGUAGCGGUGAAAUGCGUAGAGAUCAGGAAGAACAUCGGUGGCGAAGGCGCUCUGCUGGACCAUAACUGACACUCAGGGACGAAAGCUAGGGGAGCGAAUGGGAUUAGAUACCCCAGUAGUCCUAGCCGUAAACGAUGGAUACUAGGUGUUGUCUGUAUCGACCCGGACAGUGCCGUAGCUAA
rnacentral:rRNA from 1 species